AGGCAGCAGUGAGGAAUAUUGGUCAAUGGGCGGAAGCCUGAACCAGCCAAGUCGCGUGAGGGAAUAAGGCCCUACGGGUCGUAAACCUCUUUUGCCGGGGAGCAAGGGCGGGACGUGUCCCGGCCCGGAGAGUACCCGGAGAAAAAGCAUCGGCUAACUCCCGUGCC
rnacentral:rRNA from 1 species